rnacentral:rRNA from 1 species
AUUGAACGCUGGCGGCAUGCCUUACACAUGCAAGUCGAACGGCAGCACGGGGGCAACCCUGGUGGCGAGCGGCGAACGGGAGAGUAAUACAUCGGAACAUGCCCAGUCGUGGGGGAUAACACUUCGAAAGAAGUGCUAAUACCGCAUACGUCCUGAGGGAGAAAGCGGGGGAUCUUCGGACCUCGCGCGAUUGGAGUGGCAGAUGUCAGAUUAGCUAGUUGGUGGGGUAAAGGCCUACCAAGGCAACGAUCUGUAGCUGGUCUGUGAGGAUGAUCAGCCACACUGGGACUGAGACACGGCCCAGACUCCUACGGGAGGCAGCAGUGGGGAAUUUUGGACAAUGGGGGCAACCCUGAUCCAGCCAUUCCGCGUGAGUGAAGAAGGCCUUCGGGUUGUAAAGCUCUUUCGGCAGGAACGAAACGGCGAGCUCUAACAUAGCUUGCUAAUGACGGUACCUGAAGAAGAAGCACCGGCCAACUACGUGCCAGCCGCCGCCGUAAGAC